UUAUCCAGGCAAAUCCGGAUAAUCAAGGCUGAGGUGUGAUGACGAGGCACUACGGUGCUGAAGUAACAAAUGCCCUGCUUCCAGGAAAAGCCUCUAAGCAUCAGGUAACAUCAAAUCGUACCCCAAACCGACACAGGUGGUCAGGUAGAGAAUACCAAGGCGCUUGAGAGAACUCGGGUGAAGGAACUAGGCAAAAUGGUGCCGUAACUUCGGGAGAAGGCACGCUGGUGUGUAGGUGAAGUCCCUGCGGAUGGAGCUGAGACCAGUCGAAGAUACCAGCUGGCUGCAACUGUUUAUUAAAAACACAGCACUGUGCAAACACGAAAGUGGACGUAUACGGUGUGACGCCUGCCCGGUGCCGGAAGGUUAAUUGAUGGGGUUAUCCGUAAGGAGAAGCUCUUGAUCGAAGCCCCGGUAAACGGCGGCCGUAACUAUAACGGUCCUAAGGUAGCGAAAUUCCUUGUCGGGUAAGUUCCGACCUGCACGAAUGGCGUAAUGAUGGCCAGGCUGUCUCCACCCGAGACUCAGUGAAAUUGAACUCGCUGUGAAGAUGCAGUGUACCCGCGGCAAGACGGAAAGACCCCGUGAACCUUUACUAUAGCUUGACACUGAACAUUGAGCCUUGAUGUGUAGGAUAGGUGGGAGGCUUUGAAGCGUGGACGCCAGUCUGCGUGGAGCCAACCUUGAAAUACCACCCUUUAAUGUUUGAUGUUCUAACGUUGGCCCCUGACCGGGGUUGCGGACAGUGUCUGGUGGGUAGUUUGACUGGGGCGGUCUCCUCCCAAAGCGUAACGGAGGAGCACGAAGGUUAGCUAAUCCUGGUCGGACAUCAGGAGGUUAGUGCAAUGGCAUAAGCUAGCUUGACUGCGAGCGUGACGGCGCGAGCAGGUGCGAAAGCAGGUCAUAGUGAUCCGGUGGUUCUGAAUGGAAGGGCCAUCGCUCAACGGAUAAAAGGUACUCCGGGGAUAACAGGCUGAUACCGCCCAAGAGUUCAUAUCGACGGCGGUGUUUGGCACCUCGAUGUCGGCUCAUCACAUCCUGGGGCUGAAGUAGGUCCCAAGGGUAUGGCUGUUCGCCAUUUAAAGUGGUACGCGAGCUGGGUUUAGAACGUCGUGAGACAGUUCGGUCCCUAUCUGCCGUGGGCGCUGGAGAAUUGAGGGGGGCUGCUCCUAGUACGAGAGGACCGGAGUGGACGCAUCACUGGUGUUCGGGUUGUCAUGCCAAUGGCACUGCCCGGUAGCUAAAUGCGGAAGAGAUAAGUGCUGAAAGCAUCUAAGCACGAAACUUGCCCCGAGAUGAGUUCUCCCUGAGACUUUAAGUCUCCUGAAGGAACGUUGAAGACGACGACGUUGAUAGGCCGGGUGUGUAAGCGCAGCGAUGCGUUGAGCUAACCGGUACUAAUGAACCGUGAGGCUUAACCUU
rnacentral:rRNA from 1 species